rnacentral:tRNA from 1 species
CAAAGAAUAGUUUAAUUAAGAAUUCUAGCUUUGGGAGCUAGUGGUGGAAGUUAAAAUCUUCCUUCUUUGA